UUGUUGAUUUUGGUGGUGGCAGCUGAAGGAAUACAGUCGAAGAGGGUCGAAGAGGUCUAAGAGGUCCAAGAGGUCCUUUUGUUGGGAGAGCGUGUAGAGGGUGUAGAGCGUACAGCUUGUCAUUGCAUGGGCCCUUGUGGUGUGUCUGGCUCGUAAUGAAUUAGCAGGGUUUCAGUGGAGGGGCCGAUUACCGACAACUUGUCAGAGCAGCUGAUAAACCAUCGCGGAGCAGCGCUGUGACUGCAUGCGGUAGAAGGAAGACGGUGGAUAUACUCAGAGGGUUCAGUGGAGGGGCUGCCCAUUACCGACAUCAUGUCAGACCACCCCAAUAGUCCAACUCGUUUGCACUUGCUCAGCCAUCUUGACCAGCCAUCUGGAGACCAGGCAUUUCCCAGAGUUGCUCAUGGCCUGAUCAACCAUGACACAAGGGAAAGCACUGGGACCUGACAGAUCUCUGGGUGGAUGACAGUUGGUGCAGAGUUGGCAUGGGGUGGAAUGGCGUUGCGACUGCAGGAGGGAGAACGAAGGACGACAAAGCCCCUUAGAAAAUUGUAUGAAUAUUCUGAGGAAGGAGACGUUCUACUCCCUGGAGCUUGAGACUGGAAUGAGAAGUGUUGAAGAAGAGGGUCGAAUGGAGGUCUGAGGACUAAGAGGGAAGCCUUCUGUCACUGGAUGAAAGAUAUCUGUGGUCCGACAGAAGCUUAGGUGGAGGCCCGUGGACAACAGGUCAGAGAUCAGGUAUGUUUCGUUUUUCAGAGCAUGAUCUGGGUGAUUGUUUUAUUUCUCUCGGCAUGUAAAUGUACAAGUU